ACAGGCCUGACUUCGAGCCAGAGGUUUCUUGCGAACUGAGUGAGGAUGUACAAGGCCAAAUUCCUGAGAGAGGCCCUCAGCAGGUUUUCUCUGAGAAUCAAUCUUCUGAGGAUGAUUUGUCAGGUGCAGAAUUUAAUGAGCUGGAAGGGUCAUAUGCCAACUGUGGCAGCCAGUCCAAAGCCUUCAAGUGGGCAAGACCAAAAGUGGGAGGAGAGCAUGCUACGUUGAUUGUUUGCACAAAAACUGGAUCUUGAAAAGUUACUUGUUAGAAUAACACAUUAAAUGAUA